GACUCCCAUGUAUAUGAUUAAAAAGAUGCUCAGGUUGAGAAAUACAUUUGAAUACUUGAAAAGACACUCCAAAAAGAAACAAGACUUGAAAUGUGGUUUUAUGUUGAACCAUUUAGGAGACCUCAGUUAUCCAACAACUAAAAGCACACAACAGCAGAUAAAUAGGAUUUUAUUAAAAUCAAUGUCUCCAACAAUACAAAAACUAAAUAUUAAGGCAUCUUUUACUCCCAUCCUGGUAUAUGCAAGAGAAAUGUUUUAAGAAAGGGCCAGCAUUUCUUACUAAAAUGCUUUCUAGUGUAUUUGGCAGAUUUGUUUUUAUAUUCUCCUAUUCCACAUACCACUCAAAGCACUCAUGAUCAAACAUCUUGACCCAAAUCAAGAGAAAAGUAUAAAUAGAUAUUAAUUUAUUAAAAGGAAGCAGUUCAUCUUUCAAAAAUUAAAAGAAACUACAAAAAGUAUCAUGUAUAAAGUUCAAAUACCAGCAUUUAAAUUUCUCUGAAGUAAUUUAUGGUUCAGUAAUUAAGCAAAAGAAGAGAUGAAGACUUAAGAUAAGAAGGCUAUUAAUAUGGAUUGCACUAUGGAGUGACUGUUCACUGAGUACUCCGCUCCACUGGGAUGAUAGUUUGAAAAGGGCUUCAUACUCCUUUAAGAAAAUAGCACAUCCACCAGGAUAAGAUCAUUUAAAUUAACACUGAUUCUUAUUCCCCAUGCCUGUCCAUUUAUAAAGCUCAAGGGGCUUCAUAAAGUAUACUAAACAGUAACAUUUUCACCUUUUAUUAAGGCAAGUUUGUGAAAAUAAUUUAAUACAACAAGAUCUCUUCAUGAACUUUCAACUUACAACCUUUUUAAUGUAAGAAACAUACAAAAAAUUGUGUUUUAUAAAAAGUUGCCUCAAUACCAGAAAAUAGUAAUGAAAGAUUUUGAACCCAGUUUUACUCUUUAAAGAAUGCUCUUUCCUUGUCUCAAAUUCCAAGUGCUACUCAUCAUCCUUAGAGCCAGUUUUGCUUAAAUGCUUCACAACAUCAACCCAGUUCCAGCCUCGAGGAAGUUCUCCUUUGUGAUCUGUUUUGUCUGCCAGCUUACGCUUCUGGGCUUUUGAAAGUUGUUCUUUCUUGUCUUUUUUCUUACUUGAUGGGGCUGUAUUAGGAGUUUCAAUUGAGAUGAUAUUGCUUAUCGAUGUUGCGGAAUUGAUGGGAUUGUGAUUCUCCAUGAACUGCUCUUUAUUGUCUUUGGCAUAUUCAAACAAUGUAUAGGUCAUAGCGGUUCCAAGAUUAGCUUCUGCUGCUUCCUGUAGCUUGGCUAAUAUACUCUGCUUUACAGCUGAUGAUCUCCUGGUCCUCGUUGGCACUCAUCGCGCCGGUCGCGGGGCGCCUCCUGAGCGGACGGCGUUCGCAACAACGAAGAGAAAGCGAAGGCAGCGGCCCAGAGGCCGGGCGUCCCCCUUUCGCGCCUCGGCUGUGGGGGCGGCACAGUCUUGGCACUGGCAGACGCCAACUGCGCGCGCCCCGAGCCUCGGCAGCGCCCAGCCGCCGGCAGUGGGCUGUGGGCUAC
rnacentral:lncRNA from 1 species